AGGAAUUUAGGUUAAACUAGACCAGGAGCCUUCAAAGCUCUAAGCAAAUGAAAUACAUUUAAUUCCUG
rnacentral:tRNA from 1 species